rnacentral:rRNA from 1 species
UACGUAGGGGGCAAGCGUUGUCCGGAUUUAUUGGGCGUAAAGAGCGUGUAGGCGGUUUGGUAGGUCCGCUGUGAAAACUCGAGGCUCAACCUCGAGACGCCGGUGGAAACCAUCAGGCUAGAGUCCGGAAGAGGAGAGUGGAAUUCCUGGUGUAGCGGUGAAAUGCGCAGAUAUCAGGAAGAACACCCGUGGCUAAGGCGGCUCUCUAGUACGGUACUGACGCUGGGACGCGAAAGCGUGGAGAGCGAACAGG